AAUCAACGCUGGCGGCGUGCCUCAGACACGCAAGUCGAACGAUUAAGACUUCCUUCGGGAAGUGCAUAAAGUGGCGCACGGGUGAGUAACACGUAAGUAAUCUACCCUCGAGUGGGGAAUAACGUUCGGAAACGGACGCUAAUACCGCAUAAUGCAGCGGCAUCGCAAGAUGACAGUUGUUAAAGGAGUAAUUCGCUUGAGGAGGAGCUUGCGGCAGAUUAGCUUGUUGGUAAGGUAACGGCUUACCAAGGCUACGAUCUGUAUCCGGUCUAAGAGGACGGUCGGACACACUGACACUGAAUAACGGGUCAGACUCCUACGGGAGGCAGCAGUCGGGAAUUUUGGGCAAUGGGCGAAAGCUUGACCCAGCAACGCCGCGUGAAGGAUGAAGUAUUUCGGUAUGUAAACUUCGAAAGAAUGGGAAGAAUAAAUGACGGUACCAUUUACAGGCUCCGGCUAACUACGUGCCAGCAGCCGCGGUAACAC
rnacentral:rRNA from 1 species